GAUGAACGCUGGCGGCGUGCUUAACACAUGCAAGUCGAACGGAGAUUAUUGAAGGAAGUUUUCGGAUGGAAUUUAAUAAUCUUAGUGGCGGACGGGUGAGUAACGCGUGGGUAACCUGCCUCAUACAGGGGGAUAACACUUAGAAAUAGGUGCUAAAACCGCAUAAGCGCACAGUACCGCAUGGUACAGUGUGAAAAACUCCGGUGGUAUGAGAUGGACCCGCGUCUGAUUAGCUAGUUGGUGGGGUAACGGCCCACCAAGGCGACGAUCAGUAGCCGACCUGAGAGGGUGACCGGCCACAUUGGGACUGAGACACGGCCCAAACUCCUACGGGAGGCAGCAGUGGGGAAUAUUGGGCAAUGGGCGAAAGCCUGACCCAGCAACGCCGCGUGAAGGAAGAAGGUCUUCGGAUCGUAAACUUCUGUCCUAAGUGAAGAGUAGAAGACGGUAACUUAGGAGGAAGCCCCGGCUAACUACGUG
rnacentral:rRNA from 1 species